rnacentral:rRNA from 1 species
GAUGAACGCUGGCGGCGUGCUUAACACAUGCAAGUCGAACGGUGAAGCAGGAGCUUGCUCUUGUGGAUCAGUGGCGAACGGGUGAGUAACACGUGAGCAACCUGCCCCUGACUCUGGGAUAAGCGCUGGCAACGGCGUCUAAUACUGGAUAUGUGAUGUGACCGCAUGGUCUGCAUCUGGAAAGAAUUUCGGUUGGGGAUGGGCUCGCGGCCUAUCAGCUUGUUGGUGAGGGAAUGGCUCACCAAGGCGUCGACGGGUAGCCGGCCUGAGAGGGUGGCCGGCCACACUGGAACUGAGACACGGCCCAGACUCCUACGGGAGGCAGCAGUGGGGAAUAUUGCACAAUGGGCGGAAGCCUGAUGCAGCAACGCCGCGUGAGGGAUGACGGCCUUCGGGUUGUAAACCUCUUUUAGCAGGGAAGAAGCGAAAGUGACGGUACCUGCAGAAAAAGCACCGGCUAACUACGUGCCAGCCGCCGCGGUAA